UACCAUCACCCCGAGUGGUCGACGGUUAUUGGGCCUAAAGCAUCCGUAGCCGGUUCUACACGUCUUCCGUUAAAUCCACCUGCUUAACAGAUGGGCUGCGGAGGAUACUAUAGAGCUAGGAGGCGGGAGAGGCAAGCGGUACUUAGUGGGUAGGGGUAAAAUCCGUUGAUCCAUUGAAGCCACCAGUGGCGAAGGCGGCUUGCCAGAACGCACUCGACGGUGAGGGAUGAAAGCUGGGGGAGCAAACCGG
rnacentral:rRNA from 1 species